rnacentral:tRNA from 1 species
GACCCGGUAGCUCAACUGGCAGAGCAGCGGCCUCCAAAGCCGCCGGUUGUAGGUUCGACUCCUACCCGCGUCGCCA